rnacentral:rRNA from 1 species
UACGGAGGGUGCGAGCGUUGUCCGGAUUUAUUGGGUUUAAAGGGUGCGUAGGUGGCUUUUUAAGUCAGUGGUGAAAUACAGCCGCUCAACGGUUGAGGUGCCAUUGAUACUGAAGAGCUUGAAACAAGUGGAGGCUGCCGGAAUGGAUGGUGUAGCGGUGAAAUGCAUAGAUAUCAUCCAGAACACCGAUUGCGAAGGCAGGUGGCUACGUUUUGAUUUGACACUGAGGCACGAAAGCAUGGGGGAGCAAACAGG